rnacentral:rRNA from 1 species
CCUACGGGAGGCAGCAGUGAGGAAUAUUGGUCAAUGGACGAGAGUCUGAACCAGCCAAGUAGCGUGAAGGAUGACUGCCCUAUGGGUUGUAAACUUCUUUUAUAUGGGAAUAAAACGUUCCACGUGUGGGAUUUUGUAUGUACCAUAUGAAUAAGGAUCGGCUAACUCCGUGCCAGCAGCCGCGGUAAUACGGAGGAUCCGAGCGUUAUCCGGAUUUAUUGGGUUUAAAGGGAGCGUAGGUGGAUUGUUAAGUCAGUUGUGAAAGUUUGCGGCUCAACCGUAAAAUUGCAGUUGAAACUGGCAGUCUUGAGUACAGUAGAGGUGGGCGGAAUUCGUGGUGUAGCGGUGAAAUGCUUAGAUAUCACGAAGAACCCCGAUUGCGAAGGCAGUUCACUGGACUGCAACUGACACUGAGGCUCGAAAGUGUGGGUAUCAAACAGGAUUAGAUACCCCUGUAGUC